rnacentral:rRNA from 1 species
UGCGGUUAUACAAAAAUUAAAUUGAAUUUUUUUUAGGGUUUAAUAAAUAAAUGUUUUAAAUUAAUAAUUUAAAUUUUAAAUUAUAAAGUGAAAUUUUAAUUUAAAUAAAAUUUAUUUGUUUUUAUGAUAUUAAUAAAUUUUAUAAAAAACUAGGAUUAGAUACCCUAUUAUAAAAAUUUAAAUUAAUAAUCUUAAAAUAGUAUAUAAUUUUUUAUAGAAACUUAAAUAAUUUGGCGGUAUUUUAGUUCAUUUAGAGGAAUCUGUCUAAUAAUUGAUAAUCCACGAUUAAAUUUACUUAAUUUUUAAUUUUGUAUAUCGUUGUUAAAAAAAUAUUUUUAAAUAAAUAUAAUAUUUUAAAAUUUUUAUGUAAAAUUAAAUCAGAUCAAGAUGCAGAUUAUAAUUAAGAAUAUGAUGGAUUACAAUAAGAUUUAUUUUUGGAUUUUAAUUUGUAAUAAUUAAUUGAAAUUGGAUUUAAAUGUAAUUUUAUUAAUUUUAUUAAAAUGAUUUUAAAUUAAAAUAUGUACAUAUUGCCCGUCGCUUUCAUUAAUAAAUUGAAAUAAGUCGUAACAAAGUAGAGGUACUGGAAAGUGUUUCUAGAAAGAU